GGGGGUAUUUCCGUAGCGGCGAACGGUCCGGCCUUUUAAGCCGGGAUACAAACACCGUGGGUUCGAGUCCCACUGCCCCCACCA
rnacentral:tRNA from 1 species